GACGUAGGGGGCAAGCGUUGUCCGGAAUCAUUGGGCGUAAAGCGCUCGUAGGUGGAUCUGUAAGUCUGCAAGGAAAUACCCGGGCUCAACUCGGGUGCUGCAUUCCAAACUGGAUAUCUAGAGUGCAGGAGAGGUAAGUGGAAUUCCUAGUGUAGCGGUGAAAUGCGUAGAGAUUAGGAAGAACACCAGUGGCGAAGGCGGCUGACUGGACCAUUACGUGGACG
rnacentral:rRNA from 1 species